CCUACGGGUGGCAGCAGUGGGGAAUAUUGGGCAAUGGGCGCAAGCCUGACCCAGCAACGCCGCGUGAAGGAAGAAGGCUUUCGGGUUGUAAACUUCUUUUGUCAGGGAAGAGUAGAAGACGGUACCUGACGAAUAAGCCACGGCUAACUACGUGCCAGCAGCCGCGGUAAUACGUAGGUGGCAAGCGUUGUGCGGAUUUACUGGGUGUAAAGGGCGUGUAGCCGGGUUGACAAGUCAGGUGUGAAAUCCUGCGGCUUAACCGCAGAACUGCAGUUGAAACUGUUGAUCUUGAGUACUGGAGAGGCAGGUGGAAUUCCUAGUGUAGCGGUGAAAUGCGUAGAUAUUAGGAGGAACACCAGUGGCGAAGGCGGUCUGCUGGACAGCAACUGACGGUGAGGCGCGAAAGCGUGGGGAGCAAACAGGAUUAGAUACCCGUGUAGUC
rnacentral:rRNA from 1 species